UACGUAGGGGGCUAGCGUUGUCCGGAAUCAUUGGGCGUAAAGCGCGUGUAGGCGGUUCGGUAAGUCCGCUGUGAAAGUCGGGGGCUCAACCCUCGAAUGCCGGUGGAUACUGUCGGACUAGAGUACGGAAGAGGCGAGUGGAAUUCCUGGUGUAGCGGUGAAAUGCGCAGAUAUCAGGAGGAACACCAAUGGCGAAGGCAGCUCGCUGGGACGGUACUGACGCUGAGACGCGAAAGCGUGGGGAGCAAACAGG
rnacentral:rRNA from 1 species